rnacentral:rRNA from 1 species
AGUCAACAUGCCCAGAGGACGUGGAUAACCUCGGGAAACUGAGUCUAAACCGCGAUAAGUGAGGAUUUCUGGAAUGGUUCCUGACUAAAAUCUAUAUGGCCUCUGGAUUGGACUGCGGCCGAUCAGGCUGUUGGUGAGGUAAUGGCCCACCAAACCUGUAACCGGUACGGGCUCUGAGAGGAGGAGCCCGGAGAUGGGCACUGAGACAAGGGCCCAGGCCCUAUGGGGCGCAGCAGGCGCGAAACCUCUGCAAUAGGCGAAAGCCUGACAGGGUUACUCUGAGUGACUUUCGCUAAGAAAGUCUUUUGGCACCUCUAAAAAGGGUGCAGAAUAAGGGGUGGGCAAGUCUGGUGUCAGCCGCCGCGGUAAUACCAGCACCCCGAGUGGUCGGGACGAUUAUUGGGCCUAAAGCAUCCGUAGCCGGUUCUGCAAGUCCCCCGUUAAAUCCAGCUGCUCAACAGAUGGGCCGCGGAGGAUACUACAGAGCUAGGAGGCAGGAGAGGCAAGCGGUACUCAGUGGGUAGGGGUAAAAUCCGUUGAUCCAUUGAAGACCACCAGUGGCGAAGGCGGCUUGCCAGAAUGCGCUCGACGGUGAGGGAUGAAAGCUGGGGGAGCAAACCGGAUUAGAUACCCGGGUAGUCCCAGCCGUAAACGAUGCAGACUCGGUGAUGGGUUGGCUUCGCGCUAACCCAGUGCCGCAGGGAAGCCGUUAAGUCUGCCGCCUGGGUAGUACGGUCGCAAGACUGAAACUUAAAGGAAUUGGCGGGGGAGCACCACAAGGGGUGAAGCCUGCGGUUCAAUUGGAGUCAACGCCGGGAAUCUUACCGGGGGCGACAGCAGAAUGAAGGUCAAGCUGAAGACUUUACCAGACAAGCUGAGAGGAGGUGCAUGGCCGUCGCCAGCUCGUGCCGUGAGGUGUCCUGUUAAGUCAGGUAACGAGCGAGACCCCUGCUUCUAGUUGCUACUCCUGUUCUCCGGAAUAGGAGGGCUAAUUAGAAGGACUGCCGCCGCUAAGGCGGAGGAAGGAGGGGGCUACGGCAGGUCAGUAUGCCCCGAAACCCUCGGGCCACACGCGGGCUGCAAUGGUAAGUACAAUGGGUACCAAUUCCGAAAGGAGGUGGCAAUCUCGCAAAACUUACCUCAGUUAUGAUUGAGGGCUGAAACUCGCCCUCAUGAAUAUGGAAUCCCUAGUAACCGCGUGUCAUCAUCGCGCGGUGAAUACGUCCCUGCUCCUUGCACACACCGCCCGUCGCUUCAUCGAAGUUGGUUUUAGGCGAGGUGGUGCCAUGUUGGCACUAUCGAACCUGAGGUCAGCAACGAGGGAGAAGUCGUAACAAGGUGGCCGUAGGGGAACCUGCGGCCGGAUCACCUCCUUAAAAUAGAGGCCGGAUGCCAAUGUGUAAAGGGGUAUGUAACCACAACUCCAGAUAUGCAAUUUCCCCUGAAAUAUAGGGGAAAUGAAGGACUUAGUAAGUGAGAACUUACAAUGACCGUCAUGCAAAGGAACAAGUAAAUUCGCUCUGAUUAAUAGGAAAUUUUUCCUAAUCGACAGAGAAGUGGCACACUGAAGGUACUGAAGUUCGCGUAGAACUUAAAGGAUGACCAAAGUCAAAGCUAACUUUAGAUUCAUAUACUGGUGCAAAGACGCCGGUUGGAGGAUGA